UUUUUUAUAUGGUUUUAACGAGUUUGAGUUAAGAGUAGUAAAUAACUUGCUCCCAGGAAAAGAACCGUGUGAGGAGGCCCCGGGGCGUUACAGCCUUUACUUUGAAGGGGACAAAUCCUUCUCACUUUAACAAAUUGGUGUUUCCGCCCGUGACCUGGAAGCAGGACAACAGAGCCACCGACGGAAAAAGCUCCACAGCCUGCGGCCGAAACAACUGAUAAGUUGUUGACGAAUGCGCUUCCUUAGCAGAAAAGCGGCUCACUGAAGUUUAUAGGUAAAAAGUUUAAAGCACCGAGGGAUCUCACGUAAGACGUCGAGGUCUAAUUUUAUACACUGUGUGAACGGAAGGUGUAAAAGAUGGAUGCAUGUGGACUAGAAAAUUGAAUCCAGAAACACCUCGUUAAAAGCGAGUCUGGAUAAAGGGAGAAAUAUGAUCAUGGCGAGUUAUCCAUUGAAGGAUGCAGAGCACCACAUUAGAAAAUUUGAUGAAUGGGUAGGAAAAGAAAAAAAAUGAGAGAAGAUGGAGUGUUUGGGGAAUUAGAGGGGCCCCCUCCAAACACUUCACAACGUGGUUUUUUAUUUGGAUACUCUAAAAAAUAGAUUGUCACAAGCUCGUGAAAAAAUGGCUGGUGCUGGUGUGUUCGGACGAGACAAACACCAGAAGGAAGAAACAAAACUUUUGGAUUUGAUUAGACAAACCAAGUUCAAUUUUAGUAACUAUUUUUCUGACAAGGAUUCUGAACAGAAACAGGUGGAGCAAAACGGGGCUCAGGGAGGUGAGCAGGCACUCGACACUUCAGAGGGUAAGAAAAACCUUUCAUGAGUACAUCUAAUAUUGCAGAAACAGAGCCUAUUAUGGACCCCAGUCCACACCAAGGUGUCAGAGAAAUAUUUCGUAAGGCUGGUGAUGCAAUGUUUCCAUCAAACCCAUGUGUGCAGAUGCCUGUUAUGGAGUUGCGUGAAGGUCAGAUAAAUUGUGAAAUAAGGCCUACAGAGGAAGAAUUGGGACAAGAGGUACGAAAGGAGUUUCAGAUGCAAGAUUUAAUAGAGGAGGCGGUAAAUAAAGCAUUUCAGCAUUUCAGUUCCUAUUGUUAUGAAAAUGUCGAUGUUUCUGUGAUUUUUGGAGGUGAACCUUGGAAAGGAAAGCUUAAAAUAUAAGAGGUUGAUAUAUUUACAAUUUACGAUGUCUUGAAAUUAACAUUUUAAAGGUAAGAAGAUCAAUUAGUACAUUUUCAGUGCGGUAAACCCCAACCCCGGCCCAACAUUGAGCUCCAGAAGGUGGAUCACACAGAGCAGCCUUUCACUUAGAGGCAGGAGAGAAAGGAAAAAGCAGACACAGAGAGACUGAGUGCACACAGGGCCGAUCACAGCAGAAGCAGGGCCCAGGAGUCUAGAAGCAGUUUUUACCUUAAAGACAUCUACCAAUUACUACACUAGAAUGGUAUUGUAAUCUGCAUUUAGAGUGACUGAUUCAGGAGCUUAUAUUUGAAAAUGUUAGACCACACAAGCUAAGUUUGUCAAACUGUAGCAAA